AAAUGCAAAACAGGAACAAGAGUCAACUAGAUAUAAUUGCUCUGUUGUUGUUCUGUCAACAGCAAUUAUGGCAGAAGUACGCCAAAAUAAUUUACGGAGGGGAAACUGGAGAUUUGCUGGACCAUCCGAGGACCUCUCCUUCUCUAUCUACCUCUCCAGGGUGUUGGUGCCUUCCACAUGCUUGAUCUCCGUCCCCCAGCAGAUUCAGCCUCUCUCUGUCCCUUGUGUGUUCUAGGUGGAGAGGAGGAUGUGGGGCUCAAUCUCUAGCUGUUUAGAGACACCUGGAAGCUUCCUAACAUCCUCCAGGAUCAAUCUUGUUCACAUAUGUUCACUUUGUAUGUAUCAUUUUGUCAUAUGGGUUGUCUAUAUUGUUGUUUUAUUAUGUUUGCUAUUCUACACACGGCAUCAAUUGCACAUCUUUCCAUCCUGGGAGAGGGAUCCCUCCUCACUUACUCCUCUAUUGUAUUCUGUACAGACUGUAAAACCCCCUGAGGCAAAUUUUUGACUUAUAAUAUUGGGCUAUAUAAAUAAAACUGACUUGACUUGAAUGUGCAAUGCAUGCAACAUUCGUGUCCUCAAGAAUUCCUGUUACUGUAGAACAGUGUGUUCUCUACCUCUGCGGUGUGUGACCUUUUAAAAGUGAAGCAAUGUUUGCUCACAAACUCUUCACACUAGUUCCAUACCGUCUAUCAGGUGCGAGUCAAGUCACUUUCACUGUUAGUUUCAAAGCCUAUAUUCUUCUGUUUUAAACAUGUGACCUAUACUCAGUACUGUGCCUGAACUUAUCCUGUGUAGACACAGACAAAGGACUGAAGCUGCUCUGUUAACAUGCUGCUCACGCUAUGUCCCCUUUAUAGAUUCAGUGUGAGAAACUUUAUACAGAUAAGUUUUAAAAAAAAAACUGUUUACAGGUGAAAGGAGAAGAAAACUCAAGAGGAGCAACAGAGGAGGAUCCCUCUCUCAGAAUGGACAGACAUGCAACUGUUUAUGGAGAAACAGAAUGACAAUAUUAGCUAAAAAGUUGUAUAAAUAUAAUGGAAAUGUGUAAACUGAUAGGCCUUUGGCAACACAACCUCCCCUCUACCACAGUAUAACCUUCUCAAAGUCUUAUUUGAUCGUUUUUAAAAGCCUGGAGAACUAGAAUUAUUCUGCAUUGGUGAAUUAUCCCAUAUUUAGUAAAAGAUUAGAAAAAUAUCUACACACAUAUGAGUUCAUUCAUAGCACUUUUUCUUAAGACUUCUCAUCUGUGGUAACUCAAAGUUAAGUACUGAGACCAUCUGAUACUGCUGACAGCUCUGGAAAGAGCUAGUCAGUAGACCCUGAGUUGGGACUGUUCCACUGUUUCCAAGGUCAUGAAUGUUGAUGGAUAAUUUGUGUAGCAGAAAUAUCUAGUUUUUGUAAAUAAACAUGCGACCACAGAUGUAACAUAACUCUGUGCCAUAGUGUAAAGACUCAAGGGUGCAGAAGCUGCAGAUACAUUGAUUAAAGUAAUAGUUUGGGAUCUAACAGAGUGCUAAAAGUAUUUAGUCCUUUGCACCUUAUAAAUAAUUAAAGGCAUUAUUUGUCAAUUAAAUUAAAAAACCUUUUACUG